rnacentral:rRNA from 1 species
GCGCACCAGGCGAGAAAACUUUACAAUGUGCGAAAGCACGAUAAGGGAACUCUGAGUGCCUCCUAAGGAGGCUGUUCUGAUGUCUAAAAAGCAACAGAAGUAAGGGCUGGGUAAGACCGGUGCCAGCCGCCGCGGUAACACCGGCAGCCCAAGUGGUAGCCACGUUUAUUGGGUCUAAAGCGUUCGUAGCCGGCCAGGUAAGUUCCUUGGUAAAUUUAGCCGCUUAACGGUUAAGCUUUCGGGGAAUACUGCUUGGCUUGGGACUGGGAGAGGUCAGAGGUACUCCGGGGGUAGGGUGAAAUCUAUUAAUCCCUGGGGGACCACCGGUAGCGAAGGCGUCUGACCAGACCAGGUCCGACGGUGAGGGACGAAGGCUAGGGGCGCGAACCGGAUUAGAUACCCCCGUAGU